UGAGGAUCUCCGACACGGGAACAACUGCUUUCUUCGUCGUAUUAUCAGUUCGCCAUCAUUGUUGAUAAUGGCGUUGUGUUGCUGUUGGGUGUUGUAUCGUUGAUGUCUACCACGAGAGAGAUAAGGCGAUAAAUCGACUGAGCAUCUCCGACACGACAGCAAUUGCAUUCUUCGUGGUAUUACCAGUUUUCAAUCACGGUGAACCAUGUCGUCGUGCUGUACUACACAUAACAACUUAUGCUGUCCUGAGCUACUAAACCGAAGCCCCGUUGAAGUAUUAUUCUUCCCCGAGCUACGCUACCAAAGCGCAUGUGUACUACACCACCGAGGCUCCCGAUUACUACACCACCGAGGCUCCCGAGUGCUACGCAACUACGUAUGCUGCCCCAUUCUAUUUCACCGAGACUUAAGUACUAUUCUGCUCCCAGCUACUGCUUUGAGGCUCCAGCUUAGUACACCACCAAAGCGAUCGAAUACUACAUAGAAGCGCCCAAGUACGAUAGAAAUCAGUCGAGUGAGUAUCUUCGACACCCAACACGGCAGCCCCGAAGUUUCGUAUUAACUUCGUUUCAAACAGUGGAACAGCAAAGAGCGAAGACGAAUUCUAUUGCAAUCCCGUUGAAUUGAACGGCAAAGAUAAAGGUGGCGUAGCAGUCGUACGUGGACACCGACAUUGUCGGUCGGAGAGCCGAACUUGACGAUGGCCGUACCAUCACCUACGACAAGUGCCUUAUUGCCACAGGUAAACAUUUUAUGCCAAACGAAGUUCAUCUUUAAAAGUCUCAACGAUUACUCCUUUAUGGAAUGUUGAACAACUUUGAUAAUCUUCCUGCUUGAGACUUGAGAGUGGUAAACGAAAAUCUUUUCCAAUCCCUGAAUGGUGCCCUCAAAGAUGCCCUCGAGCACGUAACGCUGCUCCGCUACAUCGAUGGCGGUAACACAGGCCGAAUCCUCCCUAAAUAUUUGAGCCAAUGGACAACCGAGAAGGUGAAAACGGAAAGUGUUUGUGUUGCCCAAAGCUAAUGUUGAGGGUGCCAUUUUGUUAGACUACAAGGUUGCAUUGACCUUAAAUGAUGGUCAAAAGAUUUAAACUGACCAGUCGUCGCUGUUGUCCAGUGGGACGCAAAAACGGAUUUGGCUGUCGCUUCUGGUUUGAAAAUAGAUUCCAAUUUUGGUGGUUAUCGAGUCAAUACCGAGCUUGAAGCACGAUCGAACGUCUGGUUGGCUGGAGAUGUUGCGUUCUUUUGUGAUAUCAAAUUGCGGAAUUGGGUCGUCGUCGUAUGGAAAAUCAUCACUAUGCUGUUGUAUCAGGGCGAUUGGCUGGAGAGAACAAUACUGUCAACGGAACAUGGAUGAACAAUUGCAGUACACUGUCACCAAGUGCAUUCUUCGUCCUAUUAUCAGUACGUAAUCGGGUCGGGUCGAUCACUGGUGUAACCAUGUCUCCUGGGUAUGGCGUAUACCAAAGCACCACGCCGCCGCCUUGCUACACAACAACAUUCGCACCAACCGGUUACUACACUGAGGACCACAAUUACUACACCACCAAGGCUCCAGAGUAUUACACCAUCACCAAAGAUUCUGAGUACUACACCGAGGUUUCCAAACAGGCAAACACUACACCACCAAGUCACCGGAGUACUACACGUAUGUUGCCACAGCUUAUACACCGAGGCUCCCAAGUAUUACUCAGUUCCUAGCUACUACACUGAGGCUCCAACUAAUUACACCACCAAAGCGGCUGAACCGAGCCGCCCAAGUACUACACCACCAAGGCUCCAGAGUAUUACACCACAACUUAUGCUUCCCCGAGCCACUACACCGAAGCCCCGAAGUAUUACUCUGCCCCAAGCUACACAACUACAACUGAGGCGGCCAAGUAUUACGCAGCCCCGACUUACUACACACCGGCUGCUCCUUCGUACUACGCUGAACAGGAAUACUACACCGAGGUUCCAGUUUACUACACCACAACCCACGCUACACCUAGCUUCUACUCCGAGGCCCCUUAGUACUACGCUACCAAUGCAGCUGAGUAUUAUACCACUACUUACGCUGCUCCGACCAGCUACACCGAAGCUCCGAACUAUUACUCUAUCCCGAGUUACUACACCACUAAGGCACCUGAAUAUUACACCACACCCUACGCUUCUCCAACUAACUACAGGGACGUUUCUAAAUACUAGAGUCGAAUUUUAAUCAUGUUCAGAUUUGUCGGUCAUAUCUUAAUAGUUACUAGUCACUGGGAAUUGUUGAUCUUUAAUGAGAAAAUAAAUUUUAUUAACCUGGGUAA